UACGUAGGGGGCAAGCGUUGUCCGGAAUCAUUGGGCGUAAAGAGCGUGUAGGCGGCCCGGUAAGUCCGCUGUAAAAGUCAAAGGCUUAACCUUUGAAUGUCAGUGGAUACUGCCGGGCUAGAGUCCGGAAGAGGCGAGUGGAACUCCUGGUGUAGCGGUGGAAUGCGCAGAUAUCAGGAGGAACACCGAUUGCGAAGGCAGCUCGCUGGGACGUUACUGACGCUGAGACGCGAAAGCGUGGGGAGCAAACAGG
rnacentral:rRNA from 1 species